rnacentral:tRNA from 3 species
AGCAGAAGUGACUCAAUGGUAGAGUGCCACCUUGCCAAGGUGGAUGUUGCGGGUUCGAGUCCCGUCUUCUGCUCCAA